CCUCGGCCACUCGCCGUCCCGACCUCUCCACUCGCCUCCUCUGGCCAGCCAACCAUAGUGGCAUCGUUCCUCUGACACGCGGAGGGGCUCUCCUCUCCCACCGGUCGGCGCUUCGACUUCGACUCCUACAACCGCCCCUGUUUGCUCCCCACGCUCGUCCGCUCCGGAUCCAGAUCCACGGCCCCAUUCGCCAUUGCUUGCUUCUAGGGAGGGAUGUUGAACGGACAGAUUGAGGCCGUGCCGCCGUUCAGGACAGGCUGCUGGUGCUGGCCGUGGACGGGCUGCCGGUGGCAGCGCCGCUCAACGGCCGUCGCUGCUGUCCACUCGGCUCGGACAACUACACCGUUAUCCAGAUGACCUUAGCCCGCCCCGCCUCCACCUCCGCACUGGCCAUGACGCCGUGACGCCCCAGCCGCCUAGAUUUGCUUAAGAUCACGGAAGCUUGGGUUGAUGGAGUGCUUGUAUUUAGUUUUUGUUUUGACCUUGUGAAACUUGCUACCUAUGGAUGAAACUGUGUAAUAUUAAUGAAACUAUGUAUAUAUACGGAUGAAACUUGCUACUAUUGGUAACAUGUGUUGGAUAUAUAUAUGUGUUCAUGACUAUUGGUAAUAUGUGUUGAAUAUGCU